rnacentral:pre_miRNA from 1 species
UCUGAUAGUCUGGAUCGAAUCUUUGCUGGUUUCCUCUGCGGUGAUAUUCCAAAUGAAGUGCUUAUCACCGGGUGAAAACUGGUAGAGAUCCGAUCCCGUCGG